rnacentral:rRNA from 1 species
UACGGAGGCAGCGAGCGUUGUUCGGAAUUACUGGGCGUAAAGAGUGUGUAGGCGGUGCUCUAAGUCUGGUGUGAAAUCUCCCGGCUCAACUGGGAGGGUGCGCCGGAAACUGGAGUGCUCGAGUGUGGGAGAGGUAAGCGGAAUUCCUGGUGUAGCGGUGAAAUGCGUAGAUAUCAGGAGGAACACCUGUGGUGUAGACAGCUUACUGGACCAUGACUGACGCUGAGACACGAAAGCGUGGGUAGCAAACAGG